GGAUCCCGGUAAACAGGACAACAACAAGGCGCAGAACACGAAGAGCAAUCAGCAGUAAACGCUGAAGUCUGUUCCGUUCGGUUCCAUUACCUACCUAUUUCGAUAGGUCACAGCGGCGUUCCGCUAUGUUAAUAGCUUAGCUAUAACAUUGCGAAAUAAUGCUGUGACCCUUUCUUCGCUGAACUCCUAUUCAGACCUUGCACCAGUACCUCUGUCGUCAGAGGGGGCAAACCCGCUCGCGACAGGCCUGCCCGCUCUCUGGUGGCCGUGCGUCUGGAGCUUUGGAUCUCUGGUCUAUUCCGU
rnacentral:misc_RNA from 1 species